UACGUAGGGAGCAAGCGUUGUCCGGAUUUACUGGGUGUAAAGGGUGCGUAGGCGGCUUUGCAAGUCAGAAGUGAAAUCCAUGGGCUUAACCCAUGAACUGCUUUUGAAACUGCAGAGCUUGAGUGGAGUAGAGGUAGGCGGAAUUCCCGGUGUAGCGGUGAAAUGCGUAGAGAUCGGGAGGAACACCAGUGGCGAAGGCAGCAUACCGGCGCUCAACUGACGCUCAUGCACGAAAGCGUGGGUAGCGAACAGG
rnacentral:rRNA from 1 species